UAUAUAUUCCCUCCGUCUAGAGUUACUUGUCGGAGAAAUGGAUGUAUCUAGACGUAUUUUAGUUAUAAAUGCAUCCAUUUUUAUCCAUUUUCGUGACAAGUAAUUCCGAACAUAGGGAGUGCCAU
rfam:Triticum urartu cultivar G1812 contig1091923, whole genome shotgun sequence.